rnacentral:tRNA from 1 species
GGCUUGAUGCUUUGGAAGCCCUGGACCUUGAACGUCCAUUUAAGAUGUUCAACUCAUCUUCAA